AUCGAACGCUGGCGGCGUGCUUAACACAUGCAAGUCGAACGGAAAGGCCCUUCUUGGUUGGGGUGCGCGAGUGGCGAACGGGUAAUUAACACGUGAGUGACCUGCGCUGGACGUUGGGAUAACUUCAGGAAACUGGAUCUAAUACCGGAUAGGAGCUCGUGCGGCAUGGUGGGGGUUGGAAAGUUUCGGCGGGUGGGGAUGGACUCGCGGCUUAUCAGCUUGGUGGUGGGGUAGUGGCUUACCAAGGCUGUGGAGGAUAUCCGGCCUGUGAGGGUGAACGGCCAACUUGGGACUGAGAUACGGCGCAGACUCGUACGGGAGGCAGAAGUGGGGAAUCUUGUACAAUGGGCGGAAGCCUGAUGCAGCAACGCCGGGUGUGGGAUGACGGUCUGCGGGUUGUAAAAAGCCUCCGCCUGUGACCAAGCGCGAGUGACGGUAACGUGAAAAGAAGCACCGGCUAACUACGUG
rnacentral:rRNA from 1 species